GACGUAGGGCGCGAGCGUUGUCCGGAUUAUUGGGCGUAAAGAGCUCGUAGGCGGUCUGUUGCGUCAGGAGUGAAAACUCGGGGCUUAACCCCGAGCCUGCUUCUGAUACGGGCAGACUAGAGGUAUGCAGGGGAGAACGGAAUUCCUGGUGUAGCGGUGAAAUGCGCAGAUAUCAGGAGGAACACCGGUGGCGAAGGCGGUUCUCUGGGCAUUACCUGACGCUGAGGAGCGAAAGUGUGGGGAGCGA
rnacentral:rRNA from 1 species